UACGUAGGGGCUAGCGUUAUCCGGAAUUACUGGGCGUAAAAGGGUGCGUAGGCGGUCUUUCAAGCCAGAAGUGAAAGGCUACGGCUCAACCGUAGUAAGCUUUUGGAACUGCAAGACUUGAGUGCAGGAGAGGAGAGUGGAAUUCCUAGUGUAGCGGUGAAAUGCGUAGAUAUUAGGAGGAACACCAGUAGCGAAGGCGGCUCUCUGGACUGUAACUGACGCUGAGGCACGAAAGCGUGGGGAGCAAACAGGAUUAGAUACCCUGGUAGU
rnacentral:rRNA from 1 species